rfam:Mucilaginibacter polytrichastri strain RG4-7 Scaffold1, whole genome shotgun sequence.
GGUAGGGUGGCCGAGUGGUUAGGCGGGGGUCUGCAAAACCUUUUACGGCGGUUCGAAUCCGCCCCCAUACCU